GACUAUGUGACUCACUUUCAAGAACACAUAUACUAGAACUCUAUUAGUUUGAGAGAUAAUUUUUGCAUCAAAUUUUGGACUUUGAUUUGGAAACAGUACUUUAUAAGGAAAGACAAAAUAUUCUAACUAUGCAUCUACGAAGCUGGAAAAGUUUGAAUAUAAGCCAUGGUUAGGAUUUUGCCCUGGGCCGGAGCUCCUGUGAGACACCAACUCUACAAACAUCCUUACCAGAGAGCUACAUGCAACAAAACAAGGAAGGACAUUCUCACUCAUUUCUACCAGGGAACGUCCAGGGCCAACGUAUUCAAAGGAGACCUGUGAGUUCCACGUGAGUUUGAAGAAUGACAAUCGAUGUAGGUUCUACCCUUCAGAUCUCUGACCAGAAAGCUGGGAGGCCCAAGAG
rnacentral:lncRNA from 1 species